rnacentral:rRNA from 1 species
GAGUUUGAUCGUGGCUCAGGAUGAACGCUGGCGGCGUGCUUAACACAUGCAAGUCGAACGGGAUUACACGGAGAUGCGAUUUCGGUCAAAUCAAGUGCAAUCUUAGUGGCGGACGGGUGAGUAACGCGUGGGUAACCUGCCUUGCACUGGGGGAUAACACUUAGAAAUAGGUGCUAAUACCGCAUAAGCGCACGGUCCUGCAUGGGACAGUGCGAAAAACUCCGGUGGUGCAAGAUGGACCCGCGUCUGAUUAGCUGGUUGGCGGGGUAAAGGCCCACCAAGGCGACGAUCAGUAGCCGGCCUGAGAGGGUGGACGGCCACAUUGGGACUGAGACACGGCCCAAACCCCUACGGGAGGCAGCAGUGGGGGAUAUUGGACAAUGGGGGAACCCUGAUCCAGCGACGCCGCGUGAGUGAAGAAGUAUUUCGGUAUGUAAAGCUCUGUCAGCAGGGAAGAAAGCAAUGACGGUACCUGACCAAGGAAGCCCCGGCUAACUACGUGCCAGCCGCCGCAGU